ACAUCAAGGGUAUAUGGCAGAGGGAUGUGUUUGGUGUUCCGUGCACUUGAGCAGCAAAAGAAAGAAGGCGCGGCGUAGUUGCGUCCCAGCAACCCCUUCCUAGUACUACUGCUGACACGUACGACUAGGACGACGUCGCUGGCGCUCGUUGAGACCGUAAUGCUGCGAUAAAAGUUGUACCCAUGAAGAGGAAGUGCUGACGAAUAUCGCCCCUCUUCACCUCUCUCGCAGCUCGUCAGUAAGAUCAGCUCCCCCAUACCCUUUCCCCCUCCCCCUCCCCCUCACCGAAGGCGAACGCGAAAGCUAAUCGAUGACAUCUCCAAGUGCCCAAUUGUCCCCACAUCGUGUGCGCCACGCUGGCGUCCCCCUCACACGCAUGCCGAGCCGGCCACGGUGGCGCUUGGAUGCGAACAUGUGCGCAUAACACCUGCGCAUGGGCUGGUCAUCCUAAAGGACGGCACCUCUACCCUGUCGCUUGCCGAGUUUGAUGAGAGGACUGCAUGCCCUUCAAUCAGGACGGCAUCACAGAGGCGUGAUUGCGGGACCCCCAUUGGGAAGACUCCGAUGGGUCGCGUUGUCGCACCUGCAACGCAACCAUCAUACACCUCUCUCGCGAAAUGACGUAGAUCUCGCCGGGGCGUGCGUGACGCUGCACGAAGAGGGCGAGCACAGGAAACUCACAUCCGUUCAGGAAUUCCGCUCUGUCUUGGAAGAGGUGUGAGUUUGAGAUGGCCGACUCGCGUGUACCCCCACAGCAGCCCCAGUGAUUGCCUUCCCGCCUCAGACACGGUGGCCACCGCCUUACGGAGCUGCCGCGCCCACAAUGCGACGCCUACACGGCACAGGGCGCACCGAUGGCGCCCGCAUCCCCGCAGGGUGACCGUGAGCAGAGGGAAGCAGCCGAAGGAGAGCACGCAUGUGCUCCCCACGCCUCGAAUACGCGCCAUCUUGCUCCCGUGCAGGUUACCCGGCUCUCACAGCCUGACGAGGAGGAGGGGCCAUCCUGCGCGUCCUACAAGCCGUGCCCGAAACCAGCCCAUGGACGCCUACCAGUGGCCAAAGAAGAGCGGAGGGAGCCCCCUUGCACGCGGCACAGAGGAAAGCGAUGCACCUUGCCGAUCUGUGUGGCGAGAUGAGAAGCGAGAACCAGCAACGGAUGCGGUGCAUGGGAAGUACCCCCGACCAGUGCCCCCGCGUGUUCCCAGGAAGCGUCACUCCUCCGCCGCCGGUGACAGACGCGGAUGUCGAGGCCCCUCCCCUCACUGGCAGCAAUCGUUAUGGUGUGCCCAGCGCAGCACCAACCCCUCUCCUUGAAUGGGCGUUCACCUUCGUGGAAGAGAAGAAAGGACGUAUCGGACGGCGGCGCCCUCAUUCUCUGGCCGCGACAAGUCAACAGCUGGCCAGAUGAGCAGCGUUACAACGCGGAGGUGGGUCUGGAUGCGCAGCCAUGGGAGAACUCGUGCUCGACGACAGUGUGUGUGUGUGGGAGGGGGGGGUGACAGGUCUGGCAAAGCCAUCUUUUCCAGGUGCGUCUUUCCGUGCAUCUGCGAAGAGCGCACUCGAAUGAACUUGGCUGUUGGCCCAGAGGUGAUGCGGGUAGUGACAGCAACAUCGGCCUGCCAUCCUAUGUGUGCCACGCGACCCGCCUCCGAAAUUCACGUGAAGGCCUGCAUCGACAGCAUCCAACGGACGGGUGGUCGGCAGGCAGUGGAGACAGCUCUGCCGGCGACGCAAGCCGCAACCCCGCAUACCACACGAGACGGGUGCUGACUAACAGCGUGGCGAGGGAUGGGUGGUGAUGGAUAAGAAAGGGUGCACCCUGCGCUGUCGUCCAAAACCCCCUCCCCUCACAAGCACACGCAAAAAAAGCG
rnacentral:misc_RNA from 1 species